GCAGCCGCGCGGUAAUACAGAGGGUGCGAGCGUUAAUCGGAUUUACUGGGCGUAAAGCGUGCGUAGGCGGCUAAUUGAGUCGGAUGUGAAAUCCCCGAGCUUAACUUGGGAAUUGCAUUCGAUACUGGUUAGCUAGAGUGUGGGAGAGGAUGGUAGAAUUCCAGGUGUAGCGGUGAAAUGCGUAGAGAUCUGGAGGAAUACCGAUGGCGAAGGCAGCCAUCUGGCCUAACACUGACGCUGAGGUACGAAAGCAUGGGGAGCAAACAGGAUUAGAUACCCGUGUAGUCCCUGUCUCUUAUACA
rnacentral:rRNA from 1 species